GUUUACCAUUGUGAAGGAGAACAGGAACUUUCUUAUGGACAGGUCUGUGGGUACGAAGAAGAGGACUCUUGUUUCGUAAAUCUUCUUCAAGAAACUAAACCCAAGUCUGUAUUGACUGGAAUGAAGAAACUAAAGCUGUGAAUCCCAGCCCUGCAUGAUGACCGCUUGCAAAUCGAUGAGUUUGGAACAAAACUGCCUUUCUUGCUGCACAGCCAACGUGCCACGAGCAGCUCCUGGAGAAGCCGAAUGGGGUCUUUGGACUGUAUAAAUAUCACACCCAGAAAUGGAUGCAAUUGAGCUGAUCAGAAUGCUUUGAAUUGCUGAUGCUCCACCAGUAGCAAAUGAUUCGUUGUGGAGGAGAAGGCAUUCCAAAUCUUUCUGCAUCGACAGAAAUUGGCCCUCAAUCAAGAAGGAGCCUCCAAUUCUAGCACUCCUUGUUCGUUCAAGCUGUUAGACAUUACUCUCAUGAUGGUGAUUUGAAUAAAUGUUUGAAGGAUGAAGAAACACAGACCAAAUAAAGAAAAGUGAGUAUAUCAGCUUGCAGGAAUGAAAGGAGAAGAGGAACCAAAACUCACCGUUUAAAUAAAAAGCAGAUGACCAAUGCGCAGCGUUUUGAUUUGUUUUUAAAUUUCAGUUAGUAGCUAAUCAUUAGUUAGUUAGCAAUGUUUUUAGCUUUAUUUUUCUUUGCUGAUCGCAUACCUGUACAUAUAAAUAGCACUAUGUAAUACCCUGAUUUCAAUGAAUGAGAUAAUACCAAGGCACAUUCUCAUCCUC